CCUACGGGAGGCAGCAGUGAGGAAUAUUGGUCAAUGGACGGAAGUCUGAACCAGCCAUGCCGCGUGCAGGAAGACGGCUCUAUGAUUUGUAAACUGCUUUUGUACAAGGGUAAACCUGAAUACGUGUAUUCAGCUGAAAGUACUGUACGAAUAAGGAUCGGCUAACUCCGUGCCAGCAGCCGCGGUAAUACGGAGGAUCAAAGCGUUAUUCGGAUUUAUUGGGUUUAAAGGGUGCGUAGGAGGAUUGAGAAGUUAGAGGUGAAACGUCCGAGCUUAACUCGGGAACUGCCUCUAAUACUGUUGAUCUAGAGAGUAGAUGCGGUAGGCGGAAUGUAUGGUGUAGCGGUGAAAUGCUUAGAUAUCAGACAGAACACCGAUUGCGAAGGCAGCAUACCGGCGCUCAACUGACGCUCAUGCACGAAAGCGUGGGUAUCGAACGGGAUUAGAUACCCUUGUAGUC
rnacentral:rRNA from 1 species